UCUACACCUUCACCUGUGCUUCCGCCAAUUACAUCAUCACUUUCUGCCCUGCUCCUUCGACCAGCGUGAAGUCGUCGAAUGGGACUGUCCCUGGUGCGGCCGAUGUCUCAGCUAGUUUACGUAAUACAACGCCCAACAUCGUCGUUUUCGCCGUCACUGUUAUGGCGGUGGCUUGGCGGUGGCUGCCGCUAUUUUGAAUCUCUGCAGCAGAUUUCACACUAGAGAUAUCUCAUCGGAGAUCUGACGUAAUAGGCUAACAGUUUGAUUUCGAAAUACGUUGGGGGCCCAAACAUAUUGACUUUUCUGAAAGCGGACGUAGGAGAAAAUGGGGCCCACGAUUCGAUCGGAGGUUACAACUUUGCAUGUGGGUGUGAAACGGAGCCGUAACAAAGCUAUGGCCCCAUGUAUGCAACUUUGGUGACACAUACAAACACAUACACACUGUGAUCCACGUCGUCUGAUUUCAAAAGGACAAAUCAGGAGCGUUGCCCUUGCUGCCAUAAGCACAUAGGGUUUUCCACUUCUUUUUUUCUUAAUUAUUGUCAAUUUUCGGAUUUUAGAUUGAGAUGUAAAUAAUUAUAUAUAUUAUAGUAGAAAGCAGAUAGAAUCAGUAGCUGGAAAUGUAAAUCUUUUGCUGCUAGAUGUAUGUUUUGGUCAGCAUCAUGAAAGUCCGAACAAAAUGCGGACAUAUCGUUGUUUCACACUUCAAAUUGUUGAUUAAAACGUGCAACAACAAAGAGCAUGUUAUCGAAUUAAUUAACAUUUCGUCUUUCUAAUUA